UUGCAUGAUGAUUCUUAAAAUUCGCUGUGUUCUUACUGAACUACAAUGUCGAAACAACAAAGAUUCACCUUGGAGAACUGAUCU
rnacentral:snoRNA from 1 species